UUAGAACAGCAGAGCUCUGCUUCCCCUGGGAGGGCCACAGCGGCCCCCAAAGCUCCAGCAAGAGACCUGGGCAGGAUCCAGCAGCCUUUUCUUGCUCGGCUCUCUACCAGAAAACCUGCCAAGCACAAGCCCUUCUCUCAGGCUCUGCUUUCUAAAAUCUGCCAGACAGGCAAAGUGUCAUGGACUCACGGACUGGAGCAAUGCUGGUUGGAAAGGAUGCCUGAAGGUCAGGUUGUCCAGUCCCCCACUGAAAGCAGGACCAUCACCAACAUUGGAUCAGAUCAGCCGUGGCAGUUGUGCACUCAUCACAAGACUAGAUAAAUGGAGUGUGACAGUCAAAGCCUUCAGACCUCCCAAGCACAAGGAUUGAGGACUCUGCUGGCUUGCGGACAUUACAUGUAUCUACAAGAUGAAGCAAUGUCGGGAAAAACCUGAGGGAAAAACCCGGCAGUUCAUUAUUGCACUUUACCUAUGUGUUGGGUUUGCGUGGCAAGGUUUUGGUAGCGGGGGGGCUACAGGGGUGGCUUCUGUGAGAAGCUGCUAGAAGCUGCCCCUGUGUCUGAUAGAGCCAAGGCCACCCGGCUCCAAGAUGGACCCGCCGCUGGCCAAGGCCAAGCCAAUCAGCGCCUCUGUGAUAACAUAUUUAAGAAGAAGAAAAACACUUAGAGAGAGAGCUUUUGGAGCCAGAGAGAGGAGUGAGAAGAUGUAAGAAACUCUGCAGACACCAAGGUCAGUACAGAUGGAGGGGGAGGAGGAGCUCCAGGCGCCAGAGCAGAGAUCCCCCUGCAGCCCGUGGUGAAGGCCAUGGUGAAGCAGGCUGUCCCCCUGCAGCCCAUGGAGGAAGGAUGAGGGGGUGUAGCGAUUCCACCUGCAGCCCGUGGAGGACCCCACGCCGGAGCAGGUGGAGGCACCUGAAGGAGGCUGUGGCCCCGUGGGAAGCCCACGCUGGAGCAAGUUCCAGGCCGAACCGGUGGACCCGUGAAGAGGGAAGCCCACGCCAGGGCAGGUUUGCUGGCAGGACUUGUGACCUCGUGGGGGACCCCACACUGGAGCAGUCUGCUCCUGAAGGUCUGCACCCCGUGAGAGGGACUCCAUGCUGGAGCAGGGGAACGAUGAGAGGAGUCCUCCCCUUGAGGAUGAAGAAGCAGCAGAAACAACGUAUGAUGAACUGACCGUAACCCCCACUCCCCGUCCCCCUGUGCCGCUGAGGGGGGGGGAAGGUUGAAGCCGGGAGUGAAGUUGAGCCCGGGAAGA